rnacentral:misc_RNA from 1 species
UGCAUACAUCGCUCAGCCCCAAA